rnacentral:lncRNA from 1 species
UACAACAAAAGUGAUGGACAGUGCUUAGUGGCCAAGCAUCGGACAGACAGCAUUCACCUAAAUGACUUUUAUCCUGGAGCAAAUUCAACAAAGCAACAGUGUUUGGUGGUCCCCAGACACACAGCUCAGCCUGUGCCCAUACAGCCUUUUCGUGGACAUAAGUGUUCCCCAGCAGUAUUACUCCGGUGUCCUCCACAACUGAACCUGUCUGUCGCUUAUGUAGAUCAGGGUUCCAGGCGACCUGCCUGAAGUUUUCAGCAGUAACUCAGGAUGGACACAUGAGUCACAGAGGUUGCGUCUAUCCAGUCACCUCUGACUGUAUCCCAUUUUCACACUGCCCCCAGGAGGAUGUAGAAAAGCGCAAUGUUCCAGCUUUCUUCUCUUGUGCCAUCUGGCACACCCCUAUUCUGACCAGGCCUCCCAGUUGUGUAGAGUAUGACAUCAUCAGAAAAUAGACACACAAGUGUGUGCACCCAUGCCUACUUGCUUGUGAUAUUGAAGUCACUUCUCGCCUGUGCUUUCUUGAACAUUUAGUAAGGAAAUGGAUCAGACAUUCCUCUUUUUUAAAAAAGAACUAUCAUUCUUUCUCUCAAAUAUCUGUGUCCAAAUAUGUGCUUUGGAAGUUUGAACAGCAAGCUUUUCCUGGUUUUAAAAAUGCAAAGAUAAUCUCCAUGAA